rnacentral:rRNA from 1 species
AGCAUGUGGUUUAAUUCGAUGAUACGCGAGGAACCUUACCUGGGCGUCGAACGUAAGAUGACUGUAGGUGAAAGCUUACAUCUCUUCGGAGCAUUUUACGAGGUGCUGCAUGGUUGUCGUCAGCUCGUGCCGUGAGGUGUCGGGUUAAGUCCCAUAACGAGCGCAACCCCUACCUUUAGUUGCCAUCAGGUUAAGCUGGGGACUCUAAAGGAACUGCCUACGCAAGUAGUGAGGAAGGCGGGGAUGACGUCAAAUCAGCACGGCCCUUACGUCCAGGGCUACACACGUGCUACAAUGGCCGAUACAGAGGGCAGCUACCUGGUGACAGGAUGCAAAUCUCCAAAGUCGGUCUCAGUUCGGAUCGGAGUCUGCAACCCGACUCCGUGAAGUUGGAUUCGCUAGUAAUCGCGCAUCAGCCAUGGCGCGGUGAAUACGUUCCCGGGCCUU